rnacentral:rRNA from 1 species
ACUAAAUAGAUACCCCGGUAGUCCUGGCAGUAAACGGUGCGCGUUUGGUGUGGGGGAUUCGACAAUCUCCGCGCCGGAGCUAAACGCGUUAAAAACGCGCCGCCUGGGAAAUACGGUCGCAAGAUUAAAACUCAAAGAAAUUGACGGGGGCCCGCACAAGCGGUGGAGUAUGUGGCUUAAUUCGAUGCAACGCGAAGAACCUUACCUGGGCUUGACAUGCAUCGCUAAGGCGGUGAAAGCCGCCGAGGGUAGCAAUACCUACUUUGCACAGGUGCUGCAUGGCUGUCGUCAGCUCGUGUCGUGAGAUGUUGGGUUAAGUCCCGCAACGAGCGCAACCCUUAUGAACUGUUGCAGCGACGCAAGUCGCGCUCUCUGUUCAGACCGCCCUGUGAAACGGGGAGGAAGGUGGGGAUGACGUCAAGUCAGCAUGGCCCUUACGCCCAGGGCUGCACACGUACUACAAUGCCCAGUACAGAGGGAGCCAAGCCGGCGACGGCAAGGAAAUCCCAAAAAACUGGGCUCAGUUCAGAUUGCA